GACGUAGGGCGCGAGCGUUGUCCGGAUUUAUUGGGCGUAAAGAGCUCGUAGGCGGCUUGUCGCGUCGACUGUGAAAUCCCGCGGCUCAACUGCGGGUCUGCAGUCGAUACGGGCAGGCUAGAGUUCGGUAGGGGAGACUGGAAUUCCUGGUGUAGCGGUGAAAUGCGCAGAUAUCAGGAGGAACACCGGUGGCGAAGGCGGGUCUCUGGGCCGUAACUGACGCCUGGAGGAAGCGAAAGCGUGGGGAGCGAACAGG
rnacentral:rRNA from 1 species